rnacentral:rRNA from 1 species
AUUGAACGCUGGCGGCAGGCUUAACACAUGCAAGUCGAGCGGGGGAAGGUAGCUUGCUACUGGACCUAGCGGCGGACGGGUGAGUAAUGCUUCGGAAUCUGCCUUUUAGUGGGGGACAACAUCUCGAAAGGGAUGCUAAUACCGCAUACGUCCUACGGGAGAAAGCAGGGGAUCUUGGGACCUUGCGCUAAUAGAUGAGCCUAAGUCGGAUUAGCGAGUUGGUGGGGGAAAGGCCUACCAAGGCGACGAGCUGUAGCUGGUCUGAGAGGAUGAUCGGCCACACUGGGACUGAGACACGGCCCAGACACCUACGGGAGGGAGCAGUGGGGAAUAUGGGACAAUGGGGGGAACCCUGAUCCAGCCAUGCCGCGUGUGUGAAGAAGGCCUCAUGGUUGUAAAGCACUUUAAGCGAGGAGGAGGCUACUCUAGUUAAUACCUAGGGAUAGUGGACGUUACUCGCAGAAUAAGCACCGGCUAACACUGGGCCAGCAGCCGCAGUAA